rnacentral:lncRNA from 1 species
AGUAAUGAUCAUAUGGGACUCUGCCCCACCUUGACCCUUAAGGAUCACCGUUAGAUAUACUUUUCAAUCUUGGGAUCAAAAAAAGUUUCACCAGCUAACUCUUUCCUACAACUGGCCACAACGGGUCAUUUUUUUUUCAAAAACGCCCCCUUUAUUGCUGCUCCGCCCUUUUUCUCUCCCUCUUCCUAGCCCACUGGUUUCUUCUCAUCUCUUUGCGAAAAACACUAAGUCUGCCAAAAUAAAAAAGAGACGUUACUGCUAAGAACACAUCUUUCUCUCUAGUAAGGUCAUAAGGUCUCAGAGAAAGGUUAAGAACAAAAAUCAAGUAUUUUAUAUCUUUGUAUUUCUCAAUCUCUCUAUCUAUGAAUUUC